UUCUUCCGGUAUAUUGUAGGAGCCUUUUUCCUAGGGGUAGGGUAACAUAUCUCACGUGACCGGAAACGUAAAUCAUUUAAAUUAUUCCACAGAAUCGACAAGAACGCCGCUCCUGAGAUAUAAUGUAGUUGGUUGUGUCUUGUAAUCUUUUUGAAUUUGUGAAGGAACCUUUGAUGUUUUUGUCUACCACUACCAACGUAUAAAGAGACACUAUUGGCAAACCAAGUAUCAAAUAUAAGAAGAGUUCAUUUCUACAGUAAAAUAUAAACAGGAAAAAGCAGCACUAGCAUCAAACUUUGUAUUUUCACCAAUCCAAGACAAUAACCAGAACGUUAAUUUGGGGAGGGGGGAGGAGGAGUGAAAAAUGUUUACAAAGGAAAUUAUUCGCUAUUAUUUUCUGUGUCUCAGGCUAAAUUUUCCAACGAGAUGCAUAAAUAUUCAGUGGUUUAUCUCCGUAGCAAAUAUCUUUGAACAAAUUCAUGCAAUAAAAAAUUCGUUGCUUAAUGAUAGGAUGUCAAACACAAAAUUAAAUCAAGGCAAACUUUUACAGUUUUACCACAGAAUUCAAAAACUUCACGAUUUUUUAUGAG